rnacentral:rRNA from 1 species
UACAGAGGUCCCGAGCGUUGUUCGGAUUCACUGGGCGUAAAGGGUGCGCAGGUGGGUUGGCAAGUUCGAUGUGAAAGCCCCGGGCUUAACCCGGGAAUGGCAUUGGAAACUGCUGAUCUGGAGGAUUGGAGGGGGGACUGGAAUUCUUGGUGUAGCAGUGAAAUGCGUAGAUAUCAAGAGGAACACCAGUGGCGAAGGCGAGUCCCUGGACAAUUCCUGACACUGAGGCACGAAAGCCAAGGGAGCAAACAGG